rnacentral:rRNA from 1 species
AGCAGCCGCGGUAAUUCCAGCUCCAAUAGCGUAUAUUAAAGUUGUUGCAGUUAAAAAGCUCGUAGUUGAAUUUCGGGAUUGGCCCAUCGGUCGUGCCUUACGGGGUAUGAACUGGUGCAGUCAAUUUCUCACCUUCUGGAGAACCGCGAUGUCCUUAAUUGGGUGCCGCGGGGAACCAGGACCUUUACUUUGAAAAAAUUAGAGUGUUUAAAGCAGGCAUUUUUGCUUGAAUACAUUAGCAUGGAAUAAUAAAAUAGGACGGCAUGGUUCUAUUUUGUUGGUUUCUAGGACCACCGUAAUGAUUAAUAGGGAUAGUUGGGGGCAUUAGUAUUCAAUUGUCAGAGGUGAAAUUCUUGGAUUUAUUGAAGACUAACUACUGCGAAAGCAUUUGCCAAGGAUGUUUUCAUUAAUCAAGAACGAAAGUUAGGGGAUCGAAGACGAUCAGAUACCGUCGUAGUCUUAACCAUAAACUAUGCCGACUAGGGAUCGGAUGAUGUUAAUUUUUAAUGACUCAUUCGGC